rnacentral:lncRNA from 1 species
CCAGCAUCUCAGAGAUGGAAAGGACCUCAAUGCCCUCCAGUCUGCCUCCUGACUCCUGACUCAUUCAGUUGUUAUUAGAAGACCUCCAGGAAGGUCUUCCAUUUUUCCUUUCCCCUAACCAGCCUAGAUCUGCCUCUUUGCUACUUCUAACCAUGGCUUCUAGUGCCCCUUUGCAGGAUGGGAGCAGGGGUCCUGGGACAAGCAGAAAGUGACUGCCUCUUCUGGUUAAUGACCUGACCUUGAGAAUACUGAAAGACCGUUCUCACUGUCUCCUGUUUCUUCACCAGGACCUUCCCCUCCAGGCCGGUCCCUUCCCGGGAGGAUUUUUCCAAUUUGUCAAUCUAGUUCUUUAAAUAAAGUAAACAAGUUUAUGACUGGCCGUUACCAAAAGGAAGUUUCAUAUGGAGGUAUUUGGGACAUCCGGGAUGCCUCCGUCUGUUUAUUACAUUCUUCCACUCUGCAUCUCAGAUUUAGUGGGAAGGGGCCUUGGGGUCCAGCGCCUUCAUUUUACAGAUAAGGAAACUGAGGCUCCUUGACGCCUUCCUCGGGAUGGGGGGAGCGAUAUCGAGGCUGGCACUUUGGGCCACAUCUGGGUCCCUCCAAUUAGUCUCCCCAGUCUCUGAGAGUCCUCACUUUUCUGGACAGGGAUUUUUGAGGGUUUUUCAUGAUUGGUUUAAGGGUUUAAGGGAGGGGGAGGCCACCCUGAGCUCCGCAGUCGGGAAGGGUGGGAAUGGGGCAACAGGUGAAUGGGGGCAGGGGGCGAGGUCUGUCUGGGGAGGAGGCAGGUCCGGCGGUUGGGAGCGCUGAGUCAGCAGAGAGGGGAAAGUGUGGGCCGGGCAGGGCGGGCCCCAAGUCCUCACACGCUCCGUAGCCGCACCGGGAAUGUUAAUCAGAACCACGUUGUCCCUGCCCCCACCCGGCCCUGUUUGGGUGGCUUUAAGCGCGAAUUUUCUCCGCUUUUUCUGUCUCGGGGCAGGACCCGGAGAUCCCUCGAAGGUUGUUUGUUUGUUUGGGUUUGGUGGCGAAGGCGAAAGGCGUUUCAAAGGCUCGCCCCUGGGGCGCUGGCACAAAGGAAGGAAGGAGGCAUCCUGGCACUCGGGACAGGUCUAGGCAAGGCCCCGUCACCCCUGGUCCGUCCCCUGCUGGGGAAGGCGGAAGGGAGGGGAGCCGGGGUUGGAGGCCUCCCCAGCGAGGCCCCGGCGGAGCGGGCCCGUGCCCCGGGCUGGCACCCCCUCCCCAGCGAGGCCCCGGCGGAGCGGGCCCGUGCCCCGGGCUGGCACCCCCUCCCCAGCGAGGCCCCGGCGGAGCGGGGCACAUCCCCUCCCCAGCGAGGCCCCGGCGGAGCGGGCCGUGCCCCGGGCUGGCACCCCCUCCCCAGCGAGGCCCCGGCGGAGCGGACCCGUGCCCCGGGCUGGCUCCGGAGAGGUCCCAGAUGUGCCCUGCGGUGUCGGCCUCAACCUCUGCCCCCUUCCCAGUGAUCUCGUGAAGAGCCUCCACGAGCCUCGGUUUCCUCAUCUGUAAAAUGAAGGAGCCGGAGCCUCCGGCCCCUUCCCACUGCCUCUGAGAUGGGCCACGGGGACACUGUUGUCCGUGGGGUGGGCGGGCACGUCCCGGAAAAGCGAAUGUGCUUGUGGCUGGGUGCGAUGGCACAAAGCGUUGGAAUUCCGAGAUCAAAGCUCUGCCCGUGUCGGGUUGACUUGCGUCUUUCUGGAUUUGUGAGGACGUGGGCUUUGUCAAUGUGUCAACGUGUGCGUGGGGGGAGGGGGGAGGGGGCGCGACAAGCUGGCGAUUGGCUGACCCGUGGGGGAGGAGCACGCUGGUUCUAGGGGCUCCUCCCACAAGCCGAAGAAGUCCUCCUCUGCCUCCAUCCUCGGCGCGGGAUCAUCCCUGGGGCUUGGGGUGGGGGGGAGCACCCGGCCAGGAGCCGGGAGUCAGCCUGUCCUCCCCCCCUGCCCGGCCCUCUCCCAUCCCCCCGGAGCCACGUGGUGGGACGGGAGGGGAGUCCUAAAAGCCCAGUUAUUCCCCACGGCCCCCGGGGCCGCUCCCGGUCCAAUCCCGCCCCCGCCCCGACCGGGGAAGGGAGGCCGAGAGGCCCGUCAUUGUUUCCCACUGAGAGCCGGAGAAAGGCCGGCGGGGCCAGCGCCUGCAGUCCCCAGGGCUCGGCACAUCUGUCUCCGCCACGUGACGGGCCCCGGGCCGGCCAGGAGGAUGACCUCAUUGCCACCGGCCCGCCCCGCCCCCACCCCGCUCGGCGCGGGCCGAAGUGCGGCCCAGAAGGGGAGGGGGAGGGGAGGACACCGAGCCUUCGGUGCCGGGAACUCUGCAGCGGUGGGCGGGAUUCUUGGAAAAUCCCAAAUGCUUUAAUUGUGAAGGGGCGGCCGCCGGGAGUCUCGUUACAAGUUUCCCGGCUCCCUUUGGAAACAUCUUACUUUCACCCUCUCCCAUCCCUCCAGAAGGCCACCCCCUUGUUCCUGGGGGAGAAAACGAGGGACUCGGGAAGUUGAAUGAUUGACCCGGCGCGCCACGGGAUCUGCCGCUGCUGAGCUGACACUUGCCCCCGAGUCCAAUGAUCCCAAAUCCGGAGAUUCCCCCUCCCCCUCACGCCUUCCAAAGCCUCUCCCCAGCUGAAAGGCCGGUCCCCUUCCUCAGAUGGCUUCCUACCCCUUUCGCUGCAUAGUAUGUCCUUCUGAAUCUGCCGGGCCCUUUCCCUGGGCCAGGAAUUACUUUUUUUUAAUGCUUGUAACCCCAGCAGAGAGCACAGGAAGCACUUCAGGUUUUUAUUUAACAGAAAUAAAGCUCCAUCCUUCCUGCUGGGCCCUGCUAGCCCAAUGCCGGCUCCCCCUCCUUGCCCACCCCUCCCCCUCCCCAGUGCCCAGCCAAAGCGAAUUCAUUCUCUAAGGGCCAGCUCCGACCCUGCUCCCUCCAAGAACCCAGUGCAUGAAGAGCUUCCUCCUCAGUCUCUGCUGGGGGACUAGGGGGGCAGCUUCUGGCCUAUCACAUGCCCUGGUCCUCAGCUUCCUCAGCUACAGCAUGAAAGGGCUGGUCUGACACCCUCUGAGCUUUCCUUGCAGCUCAGGUGGAUGAAUCCGCAGUCCUUUGGGCACCUCGAGAAUCCCCUUUGUGUAACUGGAAGAUAUUAGAA